CCUACGGGUGGCAGCAGUGAGGAAUAUUGGUCAAUGGGCGCGAGCCUGAACCAGCCAAGUAGCGUGAAGGAUGACUGCCCUAUGGGUUGUAAACUUCUUUUAUAAAGGAGUAAAGUGUGGCACGAGUGCCUUUUUGUAUGUACUUUAUGAAUAAGGAUCGGCUAACUCCGUGCCAGCAGCCGCGGUAAUACGGAGGAUCCGAGCGUUAUCCGGAUUUAUUGGGUUUAAGGGGAGCGUAGAUGGGUUGUUAAGUCAGUUGUGAAAGUUUGGGGCUCAACCAUAGAAUUGCCAUUGAAACUGGCAGUCUUGAGUACAGUUGAGGUAGGCGGAAUUCGUGGUGUAGCGGUGAAAUGCGUAGAUAUCACGAAGAACUCCGAUUGCGAAGGCAGCUUACUAGACUGCCACUGACGUUGAUGCUCGAAAGUGUGGGUAGCAAACAGGAUUAGAUACCCCAGUAGUC
rnacentral:rRNA from 1 species